rnacentral:misc_RNA from 1 species
AACGCAUAUUGCACUCUCUGGUAUUCCGGAGAGUAUGCCUGUUUGAGGGUCAGUUAAAUAAAAAUCGGUUUUGUUGCUACUUUUUUGUGGUAACGUACCGGAAUUGGGUCUUCUUUAUCUUUUGGUGUAAGUGACCUAAAAUUUUACGUGAUUUUCGAAAACGUAUUUAAAUUUUUUACUUACGUUUGCGAUAUCGGAUACUAGAUGCGGUCAUUUUCCAUGAUUUUCGCGUCUAUAAUUUUUUCAUCUAAUGACCUCAAAUCAGGUAAGAGUACCCGCUGAACUUAA